CGAUCCCCUCCACCUUUCCUAUCUUGUCCGCGCGGGCGUCCUGCGAACGCACGCGCCUCGCCUCCUCACCUCGCCCGCAAGCCUCGCCCGCCGAGCGCCGCCUCGCCUCGCCCACCGAGCGCCGUUCGCCGCUCUCGCCUCGCCCGCUGAGCGCAGUCCCUCCUCACCUCGCCCGCCAGCGCCGUCCGCCGCUCUCGCCUCGCCCGCCGAGCGCCGUCCGUCCACACGCCUCGGUGGCCGCCGUUCGCCUCGAGACCGGCCGCCUAGCACCGUCCGCCGUGAGACCCGCCGCUUCACGCCGGUCGUCGUCCGCCGUGAGCCGAGCGCCAUCCUUUGGCAGUCAAUCGCUCUCCCUUCGCUCGCCCACACAACAGCCUCCUCUCCCUCCCAGUCGCACCCGCGAUCUCGCACGCUUGCGGCACCAUCGAUGGGUCGGCAUCAAGAUCCGCGAGGUGGCCGGACAUAGGAGCUCCGACAAGGGUAAGAAGGCCACGCAUGCGAGUCCCUCACCGGUUCUCGCAGCCACCUGCGAGUGCCUCUGCUUGUGCCGGCGGUGGCCCAUGCCAUGCGAACCGAGAGAGAGCUUAAGGUAUGAACUCAGCCUCCAUUAAGAAUUUCAAUUUUUUCUUCCCCUUCAUUGUUCCACUAUCGCGUCAGGCUUGUUGUUCAGGCCAAGAAAUCUUCUCCUUCUUGGAGGUCUCCUCACGCUCUGCUGCCAUAGGUGAGUGCGUCACUUCUACAACUGUCACUCUCCCCCUUUUUCUGUGAUGAUUGGCAUGCCCUCCUCUCUUUGUCACUCGACUCGGUGCUAGAUUAGUGGAGGGAAGUUCAUGAUGCCUUGACUUUCAGGAUGGCUGUGGCGGCAUGUAAAAGCAUGCCUGAAAUAUUCUACUGCAAAUCUGGCCACCUUGUUUCUACUUUCUACUGCUAAACAGAAACAAGAUAUGCAUUAGAAUAUUGUCUGUAUUUCUACUGUUUGGCAGUAUGUUGAACCACUUAAUGCCAAUCUUGUUUCUGUUUAGCAGUAGAAAUGCAUUCUUAAUAGUGAUCUGGAUAUUGUGUUAUACAUGUACAUAUAAAAAUUUUAUAGAAAUUAUGCGGAGGCCAAUGAAUCAGUAGAGGUUGUUUUGUAGUGUUUCAUUAGCUAGCGAACAUGUUAUAUGUAAUUUUCUCUCUUUCCUGUACAUGUAGCACAGAAGCAAUAGAACAUCGGCCUUCCUUCCUGGUAUUUGAAUCCAAUUUUAGGUCACCAUCUUUUCCUUCUCUGAGGGAGAUUUGCCAAAAUUCCAUCCCUAUGGACCUUGAUGUGUCUCUAUAGUGAGCAGAGUAGAUGAGAAAAGGACUGGAGGGUAGAGGCGCAUGCUGGAGCUGUUGUUCUUUGCUCGACAGGACAACUUGCUUCUUGUUUGUUGCUUAAACCUGAUGUAAAUUGUUGUUGUACUUAGGACAAAGCUAAUGUGACAUGAAAAAAAACUGAGGGAGUACUACAGUGAAACCUUUAGAUCAUAUGAAUAGUACCUUUCUUUACAAACCCAACUCGUGGAACACAAGGCAAUAGGGGAAAAGCCAAGGUCAUUUUAAAAGUUGAUGAUUUUGUUUGAAAAGCCAAGCCCCCUGCUUGGAGAACUCUUGAGUGUAGCUUUGUCUUUGUAAAUAGGAGGUGCUGAAACUCAUCAUGUAAGUUGAUGAUUGUUGAAUGGAAAUUGUUGCAUGUCUUUUUCCUAGCGUACAUGUAUGGCAUGUUCUUCCACUGAGUCAAAUUUUGUUGUGUGCCUCAGGACAACUUUUUGCACAUAUAGAUUUAUGCAUGAGCAUAUAUAUAGCUCUUUUCUCAUCCAGACAAUCUGUUAUGUGGUUUCUGAUUGAUAUAUCUGGUUGUUAUCACUUGCCAGUGUUACUAUCUGAACACAUACUAAAAUGAAUCAUUUUUCUGUUGAAUUUAUUAUCCAGUUCAGACUUAUGGCAUUAUGGCAUCCUGGGAGUUGUAUCAAUGCUUGCUUGCUCCUGUUUACUGAUUAUUCAGAAUGUGGAUGUUUGCUGAUAUUUUUUAACAGCAUAAUGCAGUCAAUCAAGCAAGGAAAAGAAUGAUGCAUUUGGCUAAAGGUGACUUCUAAAUUUCGUAAUGGAAAUAUCUUGUGUCUCCCGUUCCGUUUUACUGUUCAUUUCAUUCACAUGAACGCUCAAGACUUGUCAGUGGUUGUUGAGCACUAUUGAUCAUUGUUCCUGAUAACUUGCUUCAUUGGCCUUAGUCAAAUAAUUUAUGUUUGUAAUUAUGUGGGUGCUCAUUUGUUUGAUCAUUAUUUUGAGUACAAGAUACUGCACACCAUCUAAUGCUAGGAAAGCAAGGCAUAUUUAUUGGUUGGAGUAAUCCCUGUUGCUAUCAGGCAAGAACCAAUGCUGACUUUGGUUCAUCACGAAUCAAGAUCCAUUGAUACCCUUGGUACAAGGAGCAGUGGGUUUUUGUGGCUCCAACAGACUGAUCCUUGAAAGUUUGCCUCGACUUCCUUCCUGUUUGUGUUGCUGCUCAUGCCUCCACAACAUCUCGUUGUCUCCACUGGAGGAGAGGACACAAAUAGGGAUGCAUGGUUCACACUGUAUGAGGCCAUUCAGGCACUUCAUGACAGGCUACGAACACGACAUGAUAGGCCGUUUGGAUCCCCCGAAUUGAAAUGCUUUUUCAGAACCUUUGAGCACAGGCAUGUUCGAUAGUGCUCCUUGGGUCCUUACAUUGCUUUCAUGCUUCGCAAGACGCAUGCAUCAGACAAGUAAAUAGUUAAAAAACAGAAAUCAGCAUUUCUAUUCUUUAGCCAGGAAUUUUAACUAGGUCUCGGAGGCUUAACACGGAUUGAUUGGAAUUGUUGUUUUAGUUCCAAACAGAUCUAAACAAGCUGCCCAGACAAUAUGAUUCUAAUUCAACUCAAUUGUUGAGAUCCAAACGGUAGAUUGCAGUUCAGUUACAAAUACGGAAUCUAUUUGCUGCCUUUUAGUUAUUUGAUGGUGAAUCUUGCCAUAGUCAUCGUCGCUUGCAAUAAUAAUACUUAUGAUUUAACUAUUUCUAUAUAUUAUUGAUGGAGUAGAUAUCUUAUCCUAGA